rfam:Nematostella vectensis strain CH2 x CH6 NEMVEscaffold_5998_Cont50661, whole genome shotgun sequence.
UAUCUGGUUGAUCCUGCCAGUAGUCAUAUGCUUGUCUCAAAGAUUAAGCCAUGCAUGUCAAAGUAUAAGCACUUGUACUGUGAAACUGCGAAUGGCUCAUUAAAUCAGUUAUCGUUUAUUUGAUUGUACCUUUACUACUUGGAUAACCGUGGUAAUUCUAGAGCUAAUACAUGCGAAAAGUCCCGACUUCUGGAAGGGAUGUAUUUAUUAGAUUCAAAACCAAUGCGGGUUCUGCCCGGUCAUUUGGUGAUUCAUAGUAACUGUUUGAAUCGCAGGGCCUGGCGCCGGCGAUGUUUCAUUCAAAUUUCUGCCCUAUCAACUGUCGAUGGUAAGGUGUUGGCUUACCAUGGUUACAACGGGUGACGGAGAAUUAGGGUUCGAUUCCGGAGAGGGAGCCUGAGAAACGGCUACCACAUCCAAGGAAGGCAGCAGGCGCGCAAAUUACCCAAUCCUGACUCAGGGAGGUAGUGACAAGAAAUAACAAUACAGGGCUUUUCUAAGUCUUGUAAUUGGAAUGAGUACAAAUUAAAUCCUUUAACGAGGAUCCAUUGGAGGGCAAGU